UACGUAGGGUGCGAGCGUUGUUCGGAUUCAUUGGGCGUAAAGGGUGCGUAGGCGGCGCGGUAAGUCGGGUGUGAAAUCUCGGGGCUUAACUCCGAAACUGCAUUCGAUACUGCCGUGCUUGAGGACUGGAGAGGAGACUGGAAUUUACGGUGUAGCGGUGAAAUGCGUAGAUAUCGUAAGGAAGACCAGUGGCGAAGGCGGGUCUCUGGACAGUUCCUGGACGCUGAGGCACGAAGGCCAGGGGAGCAAACGGG
rnacentral:rRNA from 1 species